AAACCAACUGGGAUUACCUUAGUAACGGCGAGUGAAGCGGUAAAAGCUCAAAUUUGAAAUCUGGUACUUUCAGUGCCCGAGUUGUAAUUUGUAGAAUUUGUCUUUGAUUAGGUCCUUGUCUAUGUUCCUUGGAACGGGACGUCAUAGAGGGUGAGAAUCCCGUUUGGCGAGGAUACCUUUUCUCUGUAAGACUUUUUCGAAGAGUCGAGUUGUUUGGGAAUGCAGCUCAAAGUGGGUGGUAAAUUCCAUCUAAAGCUAAAUAUUGGCGAGAGACCGAUAGCGAACAAGUACAGUGAUGGAAAGAUGAAAAGAACUUUGAAAAGAGAGUGAAAAAGUACGUGAAAUUGUUGAAAGGGAAGGGCAUUUGAUCAGACAUGGUGUUUUUGCAUGCACUCGCCUCUCGUGGGCUUGGGCCUCUCAAAAAUUUCACUGGGCCAACAUCAAUUCUGGCAGCAGGAUAAAUCAUUAAGAAUGUAGCUACUUCGGUAGUGUUAUAGCUUUUUGGAAUACUGUUAGCCGGGAUUGA
rnacentral:rRNA from 1 species